ACUCUUUCUAGUUUUCCUUCAUUCAAUUAUAAACUUUAGUAAUCGCUCAUGAGUGAAUAUAAUAUGUACUCUGGAAAUUUAUUUUAAUCUUUCCACUUGUGAACUCGAUUGACCUCAGAAUUUAAUUUAAACAAAUUCGCAACCUUCUCCCUCAAAGAAGUUUCAUCUCGUUCGAAUCCAAUCUAAAUAAUGAUUUAAAGUUGGAUCGGGUCGUCGAGUGGACUUAAGAGUAAGAGCCCUGUGCGUUUGGUGACAGAUAAAGUUAACGAUAGUGUUAAGAAAUGACAAUCGUACAUCACGUCAUUGUCAUAUUCAUGACAUUCAAUCUAUCCCAAUUCAACCAUUUUUAUUAUAUCUACAGUUUUCAUUUAGCCUAACACCUGUCCGUGCGGAUUUUUACCUUAGAUUUUUGGAACGAAGUUCCUUAUGGGACGAUGCGGAGGGGUACCCUGACCGGGAAAAAACGUCCGUAACAUUUCCUACUACUGCCCCUUGUCGCUGUGCACAAUGGAUAUAUAUUGUCGCGAAAGAAAGAGGAGAAGAAAUAUAGAACCCUUAUAAAAAUUCUAGAAUUGUUCAAUGGUGGUGGCAAAUCAAUGCAAAAAAGUAUUAAAAAAACUUUAUAUGUAUGUGUAAAUAUUUUAAGCGUAUAUGCUGAAAAGAAUUUGUUUUCUGGGGGAAACGAACACAGCCAUAAAAUAAGCCUAAAUUAAACUGAUUAUAGAAAAAUUCAUUGAUAUAAGAUUAUAUUAUAUUUGUAAAAAAGAAACCGCUCAUAUAAAAAUAACUUCUAAAAGACAGCUUUAUAACAAACUGAAUCUGUUUAAAGGUAAUUAAACCUACAUUAUUGUUUUAAUUACUUCUGUAUAAAGAAUACGUGGAAAACAUGUUUCGUGUUUCCUUUCAUAUUUUUUUUACUUUAUUCAAUUUUAUUUUUUAUCACCUAUUUGUUGUAAUAGCGGCAAUGUAAAAUAUUAUCUACUACUUUUUUGAAUCGGUCAAAAAUAGUUGCGACCAUACAAAACAAACCUAAUACAAAUAUGUAUAUUCUGCAACUCUAUGUCUUUCAAUACUUACUGUGUUCUGAGCAUUGAAAUGUAAUACCAAGAACUACAUCUAGUUCCACAAUACAAUAAGCACGAAAUUUUAAACAAAUAUUUUUAACCUUAUAAAUUAGGCUUUAUGUAUCAUUUUAGAAUAAAUAUUUUUGUACUGAUGA